rnacentral:rRNA from 1 species
AGAGUUUGAUCAUGGCUCAGAUUGAACGCUGGCGGCACGCCUAACACAUGCAAGUCGAGCGGUAACAUGAUUAGUAGCAAUACUGAUUGAUGACGAGCGGCGGACGGGUGAGGAACACGUAGGAACAUGCCCAGAAGCGGGGGACAACCAAGGGAAACUUUGGCUAAUACCGCGUAAACUCGGAAGAGGAAAGCUGCCCGCAAGGGUGGCGCUUUUGGAGUGGCCUGCGUCCGAUUAGUUAGUUGGUGAGGUAAAGGCUUACCAAGGCGAUGAUCGGUAACUGGUCUGAGAGGACGACCAGUCACACUGGGACUGAGACACGGCCCAGACUCCUACGGGAGGCAGCAGUGGGGAAUAUUGGACAAUGGGGGCAACCCUGAUCCAGCGAUGCCGCGUGGGUGAAGAAGGCCUUCGGGUUGUAAAGCCCUUUAGGUUGGGAAGAAGCUUGGUAGUUUAAGAGAUGAUCAAGUUGACGGUACCGACAGAAUAAGCACCGGCAAACUCUGUGCCAGCAGCCGCGGUAAUACAGAGGGUGCGAGCGUUAAUCGGAGUAACUGGGCGUAAAGGGCGCGUAGGCGGUUAUAUGAGUGUGAUGUGAAAGCCCUGGGCUUAACCUAGGAAGUGCAUCGCAAACGAUAUAACUGGAGUAUAUGAGAGGGUGAUGGAAUUUCCGGUGUAGCGGUGAAAUGCGUAGAGAUCGGAAGGAACGUCGAUGGCGAAGGCAGUCACCUGGCAUAAUACUGACGCUGAGGCGCGAGAGCGUGGGGAUCGAACAGGAUUAGAUACCCUGGUAGUCCACGCUGUAAACGAUGAAGACUAGAUGUUGGUAGGGGAACCUAUCGGUAUCGAAGCAAACGCGAUAAGUCUUCCGCCUGGGAAGUACGGGCCGCAAGGGUUGAAACUCAAAUGAAUUGACGG